AUUGAACGCUGGCGACAGGCCUAACACAUGCAAGUCGAGCGCGAAAGUCUUCGGAUGAGUAAAGCGGCGAACGGGUGAGUAAUGCAUGGGAAUCUGCCUGGUAGUGGGGGACAACGUCUCGAAAGGGACGCUAAUACCGCAUACGCCCUACGGGGGAAAGGGGGGGAUCUUCGGACCUCUCGCUAUCAGAUGAGCCCAUGUCAGAUUAGCUAGUUGGUGAGGUAAAGGCUCACCAAGGCGACGAUCUGUAACUGGUCUGAGAGGAUGAUCAGUCACACUGGAACUGAGACACGGUCCAGACUCCUACGGGAGGCAGCAGUGGGGAAUAUUGGACAAUGGGGGCAACCCUGAUCCAGCCAUGCCGCGUGUGUGAAGAAGGCCCUAGGGUUGUAAAGCACUUUCAGUGGGAGAAAGGUUAUUCACCUAAUACGUGAGUAGAUUGAUGUUACCACAGAAGAAGCACCGGACUAACUCCGUUGCCAGCAGCCGCGU
rnacentral:rRNA from 1 species